rnacentral:rRNA from 1 species
UACGAAGGGGCUAGCGUUGCUCGGAAUGACUGGGCGUAAAGGGCGCGUAGGCGGAUUGUACAGUCAGAUGUGAAAUUCCCGGGCUUAACCUGGGGGCUGCAUUUGAUACGUAUAGUCUUGAGUCCGGAAGAGGGUGGUGGAAUUCCCAGUGUAGAGGUGAAAUUCGUAGAUAUUGGGAAGAACACCGAUGGCGAAGGCGCACCUG